CGCUGGCGGCGUGCCUAAUACAUGCAAGUCGAACGGUCUUUUCUAUGGAAGCUUGCUUCCACUGAGAAGAUAGUGGCGAACGGGUGAGUAACACGUGGGUAACCUGCCCAUAAGAGGGGGAUAACAUCCGGAAACGGGUGCUAAUACCGCAUAGUUUUCUUGAUCGCAUGAUCGGGAAAGGAAAGACGGCCUUUGUGCUGUCGCUUAUGGAUGGACCCGCGGCGUAUUAGUUAGUUGGUGAGGUAACGGCUCACCAAGACGAUGAUACGUAGCCGACCUGAGAGGGUGAUCGGCCACAUUGGGACUGAGACACGGCCCAAACUCCUACGGGAGGCAGCAGUAGGGAAUCUUCCGCAAUGGACGAAAGUCUGACGGAGCAACGCCGCGUGAGUGAAGAAAGGUUUUCGGAUCGUAAAACUCUGUUGUCAGAGAAGAACAAGUUGGAGAGUAACUGCUCCAGCCUUGACGGUAUCUGACCAGAAAGCCACGGCUAACUACGUGCCAGCCGCCGC
rnacentral:rRNA from 1 species